AUAUUUUUCUUUUUACUCAUAUCGUGCGAAUGACAUUAUGUUAAAUGACAACCUGAUGGAAGGUUAAAGGUAUUAUUACAAUCAUAACAUAGACAGUUUGCUCUGACUGUACUUUAACUCGGUCUGUUUUCACAAGAUAGACGACAAACCAACGACUGUAUGUGUUUGACCCAAUAAUCCACAAAGACAUCUUUUCACAUUUGAUCAAAGGUUUUUUGUAAGUUAUAAGGUCACUUGUUACAUUCAAGCAUUUAAAAUUGAUUGUUUUAAUUUGGUAUUUAUUAGAGUUUUAUAGUUUUAUAAAACCACUGAGAAUCUAUCAAUAAAAUAUCUCUCAGAUCUCAGCUCCUUUGAUAAAAUUGUAGAGAAGUUGAAGACGGAAUUUAUAACAACGACGACGCGUUAUUAGGAUACUUUGUUGUCUGGGAGAUGUGAAAAACUGCGCUCCGAGGUUCGUUUGUUAACCUUAAAUUAUGUAGUAAAUCUGAGAAAAGUUUUAUUUCUAUCUGUGAGACUAUUCAGAUACAGCAGCUGUGAAAUAUGUAAUAAUGGCAGUUACAGUGAGCUCCUUAACGUGAAUGGACAAUCGCCGGCCUGGUAGAAAUAGCCCUUCUUUUAGUUAAACUCACAUAAAACUGUUUUACGUUACUGAUUGUUUAGUAACCAAAGGGGCACAACAUACUGACAGAUAUCGAUGGAGCUGUGACGGGAUUGAUGACAUUUUUGAAAUCCAGUUUGCCAAGUUAUUGUCAUCUACAUGUUUUAAGUUUAAGCCAUUGAUAAUAUAUAUGUUAAAGUGUUGAUUUACUGAUCGAACUAUGAAAUAAAAUAAAACUUUAUAAACUUUUUGUACCGA